CUGAGCUCACAUAGAGGUGGGAUGACUGGGCUGGAGGCUCUAGCAGUUGUUGCCCACCUGGCUGUCCAUGGCAAAAGUGGGUGGGGUCAUGUGCAGCCUCCUGCCACCUGAGUGUUUCCCGGGACAUCAGGAGGCUGUAUCCUGCAGCUGAAUUUACACAGAAGUGGAACAACUGGGCUGGAAGCUCUAUGGCGACAAAUUGGCUACUUCAAGUGGUGACACUACAGUUAAAUUAUGGGAUCUAUGUAAAGGCGAUUGCAUUUUGACCUUUGAAGGACACAGCCGCGCAGUGUGGUCCUGCACAUGGCACUCCUGCGGCAAUUUUGUGGCUUCCUCCUCACUGGAUAAAACUAGCAAAAUUUGGGAUGUUAAUAGUGAAAGAUGCAGAUGUACUUUGUAUGGACAUACAGAUUCUGUGAACAGCAUUGAGUUUUUUCCUUUCUCCAAUACUCUUCUCACAAGCUCUGCAGACAAGACCCUGUCUAUAUGGGAUGCAAGAACAGGUAUAUGUGAGCAGUCACUUUAUGGUCACAUGCAUUCUAUCAAUGAUGCCAUUUUUGAUCCCAGGGGUCACAUGAUAGCAUCCUGUGAUGCCUGUGGGGUUACAAAGCUGUGGGACUUUCGGAAGCUGUUACCAAUUGUGUCCAUCGAUAUAGGUCCAAGUCCUGGCAAUGAGGUGAAUUUUGAUUCAUCAGGAGUCUCGCUCUGUAGCCCAGGCCAGAGUGCAGUGGUAUGAUCUCGGCUCACUGCAACCUCUGCCUCCCAAAUUCAAGUGAUUCUUCUGCCUCAGCUUCCCAAGUAGCUGGGACUACAGGUCGAGUUUUAGCUCAGGCAAGUGGCAAUGGUGUUAUCCAUUUGCUAGAUCUUAAAUCUGGGGAGAUUCACAAAUUGAUGGGCCACGAAAACGAGGCACACACGGUUGUGUUUUCUCACGACGGGGAGAUUCUCUUUUCUGGAGGCUCUGACGGCACAGUUCGAACGUGGUCUUGACCGUCAGCACAUCCCGCUGCAGAGGGCAUUCCCUUUAAGGCUUGAAAAUGCCUCCUGUAGUCCCAAACCAGCAAAGAACUGGUUAAAUGUGCCAGCAGGUAACAUUUACAGUCUGCUUUAAAACAUGCUUUGGACAUAUAUUUUAGUGCUCAUACUGUUACUAAUAAAAAAAUAACUUUAUGCUCA
rnacentral:lncRNA from 1 species